UACGUAGGGUGCAAGCGUUGCCCGGAUUUAUUGGGCGUAAAGGGCGCGUAGGCGGCCUUCUAAGUCGAACGUGAAAUCCCCGGGCUCAACCCGGGAACUGCGUCCGAUACUGGAAGGCUUGAAUCCGGGAGAGGGAUGCGGAAUUCCAGGUGUAGUGGUGAAAUGCGUAGAGAUCCGGAGGAACACCAGUGGCGAAGGCGACACGCUGGGCCGUACCUGACACUGAUACGCGACAGCAUGGGGAGCAAACAGG
rnacentral:rRNA from 1 species